GUGAGAUGGGGCUUAGCUCUGAAGUUUUCAAGAGAUCCCCAUGCGUGCAAGCGAGGCUGGGGUGCCCUCCUGCUGGGGAGGGGACCCCGUGCGUGGAGGUGAGAUGGGGCUUAGCUCUGAAGUUUUCAAGAGAUCCCCAUGCGUGCAGGCAAUGCUGGGGUGCCCUCCUGCUGGGGAGGGGACCCCGUGCGUGGAGGUGAGAUGGGGCUUAGCUCUGAAGUUUUCAAGAGAUCCCCAUGCGUGCAAGCGAGGCUGGGGUGCCCUCCGGCUGGGGAGGGGACCCCGUGCGUGGAGGUGAGAUGGGGCUUAGCUCUGAAGUUUUCAAGAGAUCCCCAUGCGUGCAGGCAAGGCUGGGGUGCCCUCCUGCUGGGGAGGGGACCCCGUGCGUGGAGGUGAGAUGGGGCUUAGCUCUGAAGUUUUCAAGAGAUCCCCAUGCGUGCAAGCGAGGCUGGGGUGCCCUCCUGCUGGGGAGGGGACCCCGUGCGUGGAGGUGAGAUGGGGCUUAGCUCUGAAGUUUUCAAGAGAUCCCCAUGCGUGCAGGCAAUGCUGGGGUGCCCUCCGGCUGGGGAGGGGACCCCGUGCGUGGAGGUGAGAUGGGGCUUAGCUCUGAAGUUUUCAAGAGAUCCCCAUGCGUGCAGGCAAGGCUGGGGUGCCCUCCGGCUGGGGAGGGGACCCCGUGCGUGGAGGUGAGAUGGGGCUUAGCUCUGAAGUUUUCAAGAGAUCCCCAUGCGUGCAAGCGAGGCUGGGGUGCCCUCCUGCUGGGGAGGGGACCCCGUGCGUGGAGGUGAGAUGGGGCUUAGCUCUGAAGUUUUCAAGAGAUCCCCAUGCGUGCAGGCAAUGCUGGGGUGCCCUCCGGCUGGGGAGGGGACCCCGUGCGUGGAGGUGAGAUGGGGCUUAGCUCUGAAGUUUUCAAGAGAUCCCCAUGCGUGCAGGCAAGGCUGGGGUGCCCUCCGGCUGGGGAGGGGACCCCGUGCGUGGAGGUGAGAUGGGGCUUAGCUCUGAAGUUUUCAAGAGAUCCCCAUGCGUGCAAGCGAGGCUGGGGUGCCCUCCUGCUGGGGAGGGGACCCCGUGCGUGGAGGUGAGAUGGGGCUUAGCUCUGAAGUUUUCAAGAGAUCCCCAUGCGUGCAGGCAAUGCUGGGGUGCCCUCCGGCUGGGGAGGGGACCCCGUGCGUGGAGGUGAGAUGGGGCUUAGCUCUGAAGUUUUCAAGAGAUCCCCAUGCGUGCAGGCAAGGCUGGGGUGCCCUCCGGCUGGGGAGGGGACCCCGUGCGUGGAGGUGAGAUGGGGCUUAGCUCUGAAGUUUUCAAGAGAUCCCCAUGCGUGCAGGCAAGGCUGGGGUGCCCUCCUGCUGGGGAGGGGACCCCGUGCGUGGAGGUGAGAUGGGGCUUAGCUCUGAAGUUUUCAAGAGAUCCCCAUGCGUGCAGGAUGGCUGGGGUGCCCUCCGGCUGGGGAGGGGACCCCGUGCGUGGAGGUGAGAUGGGGCUUAGCUCUGAAGUUUUCAAGAGAUCCCCAUGCGUGCAGGCAAGGCUGGGGUGCCCUCCUGCUGGGGAGGGGACCCCGUGCGUGGAGGUGAGAUGGGGCUUAGCUCUGAAGUUUUCAAGAGAUCCCCAUGCGUGCAAGCGAGGCUGGGGUGCCCUCCGGCUGGGGAGGGGACCCCGUGCGUGGAGGUGAGAUGGGGCUUAGCUCUGAAGUUUUCAA